rnacentral:rRNA from 1 species
GGCGGCGUGCCUAAUACAUAGGCAAGUCGAACGAGAGCGACCGGUGCUUGCACUAGGUCAAUCUAGUGGCGAACGGGUGAGUAACACGUGGGUAACCUGCCCAUCAGAGGGGAUAACAUUCGGAACGGAUGCUAAACCGCAUAGGUUCUUGAGUCGCAUGACCCGAGAAGGAAAAGAGGCUUCGGCUUCUGCUGAUGGAUGGACCCGCGGUGCAUUAGCUAGUUGGUGAGGUAACGGCUCACCAAGGCCGUGAUGCAUAGCCGACCUGAGAGGGUGAUCGGCCACAUUGGGACUGAGACACGGCCCAAACUCCUACGGGAGGCAGCAGUAGGGAAUCUUCCGCAAUGGAUGCAAGUCUGACGGAGCAACGCCGCGUGAGUGAAGAAGGAUUUCGGUUCGUAAAACUCUGUUGUUAGAGAAGAACAGCGCAUAGAGUAACUGUUAUGCGUGUGACGGUAUCUAACCAGAAAGCCACGGCUAACUACGUG